UACAGAGGGUGCAAGCGUUGUUCGGAAUUACUGGGCGUAAAGCGCGCGCAGGCGGAUCCUGUAAGUCGGAAGUGAAAUCUCACUGCUCAACGGUGAGACUGCUACUGAUACUGCGGAUCUGGAGACCGGUAGAGGCUGGUAGAAUUGCAGGUGUAGCGGUGGAAAGCGUAGAGAUCUGCAAGAAUACCCGUGGCGAAGGCGGC
rnacentral:rRNA from 1 species